rnacentral:lncRNA from 1 species
UAAUCUUCAAUCUUCAAGUUUCCCCCUUUCUCUAACCCUUGUUCUUCCUUUCUCCCACUUUCUCUCUCUACCUCUCUCUAACUUUGUGAAAUGAAAAGGAAUGAAUGAAUUUCUCUCCAAGUUUUAGGUUUGGAUAUACUAUCUCUCAAUUGGGCUCAAUUCUAGACCCUAGUGGGUUUAACCCAUUUCUAUUAACACCAAAAUAUUCUACACUCUAAACGGUAUUUAAACUAAUAACGGUAAAAUAAAACCAACGUAACUAAACGGUAAAAACUAAUUACUAUACUAGUAACUUAGUAAAAUAAUGGUUGUCACUAAACAUUAA